UACGGGGGGGGCAAGCGUUGUUCGGAAUUACUGGGCGUAAAGAGCUCGUAGGCGGCUCGUUAAGUGUGAAGUGAAAUCUCCAGUGCUCAACACGGAAACUGCUUUACAUACUGGCGAGCUUGAGGAAAGCAGAGGUAACUGGAAUUCCUGGUGUAGCGGUGAAAUGCGUUGAUAUCAGGAGGAACACCCAUGGCGAAGGCGGCUCUCUGGGACGGUACUGACGCUGAGACGCGAAAGCGUGGGGAGCGAACAGG
rnacentral:rRNA from 1 species